rnacentral:rRNA from 1 species
AAUGGAAUUAAUUUAAAUAGCCGCAGUAUCUUGACUGUGCAAAGGUAGCAUAAUAAUUUGUCUUUUAAUUGGAGGCUGGCAUGAAGGAUAGAAUGUGAUGAAUGCUGUCUUUAUAAUAAUUGAUUGAAUUUUACCUUUUGAUGAGGAGGUUAAGAUUAAAUUGGUAGACGAGAAGACCCUAUCAAGCUUUAUUCAAUUGAUUAUUUUGUUUUGUUUAUUAGUGAAGGAAUUUUUAUUUGAAUUUUGUUGGGGCAAUACCUGAAUAUAUAGUAAUUUUUAUAGUUAUUUUAAAUUUGAUCCGUUACUAACGAUUUAAAGAAUAAGUUACUGUAGGGAUAACAGCGUAAUUAAUUUGGAGAGUUCAUAUUGGUAAAUUAGAUUGCGACCUCGAUGUUGGUUUAGUAAUUCUUUAUGGUGCAGUAGCUUUAGAAGAG